rnacentral:lncRNA from 1 species
CAUCUUCAAGUCUAACAUUUUUUCAUCAAUUUUCUUCACACCAAGAGCAAGAAAUUGAAGUAAAAUUUAGCAACAAGCAGUACCCUAUUUGGAUUUUAUGAUGUUACUUAUUAUAUUUACUAUUUUUAUUCUUUUCAUCAUGAACUAAUUUUUUUUUGCUAAGGCUAAGGUAUAGCCACUAUUUUGAUACAAUAUUUAGUAUGACUGGAUUCUAGAUUUAAUUUUUGUUCAUGAGAAGUAUAC